CAGAGUGAUGGCCACGAACAACACCCAACCGUAAGGUCCACGGAUGGCAUUAGACCCACAUAUUAGAGCCCAGUGGAGAAGACCAAGAACCUGGACGUAGGAGAGCAACGAAGGACACAAGGGUCAGUGAUGUAAUGUGUGUCUUCCUGUUGUCUGUCCACCAUCACACACCUGAAGUUCAUCUCCACGAUUGUCUUCUCCUCCAUGGUUCCACACUAAAGCCUGUGUUUCAGCUCCAAACUUUCCUGUCAGAGUCAAAGUCCAGCAGGAGCUUUCUCACCCCGACCCUCACUGGUGAGAAGGUGAUCUUGACCGACACCCUCUGACCUGGAGAAACGUCGCCGCUGAAAGACAAAGGCAACCAAUGAAGAAAUGAAGUAAACACCUGAAGAGAAGCUGAGUCUGUGGGGACACCUACUCCACGUAGACCUUCGUAGCAGACAGCAGACCCGAGCCCUCCACAGUGAACACACCACCCUUCAGUGGAACAGGCAGAGGGUUGGUGAAGGAGAUGUAGCCUGUCACCUUCUCCCUCAGGUGCUGUCCUUCUCUCCGAUGGUCUCCAUUCUUUCAUUCAUCAACAUGUCCACUGAGAGGUUUCCAUCAGUGUCAUGGGCUGAGGAGAAGUUGGUGAUGAGGCGUGUUGGGAUUCCCAGGCAGCGCAGGACUGCAAGGACGAGAGUAAAAACUUCAGACUUUCCUUUCUUUUUCAGAACCCAUGUCUUCACCUGUGCAGGCGAUGCCAGCGAACACCCAGCACUGUCCAUAUUUGACCGGCUUAAACCCAGACCUGCUCCACUGUUGAAGGAUGGGAACGCUGCCAGUCCAUCGAUUCGGCGCUACACCAUCAGAAUAAGUCCCGUCCCAGCGGCCUUUCAACACGCCAUCAUCGCCAUUAGAAUUGACCUGAAAUUAGAGCAUCCUUAGAGUUGUCCAGAACUUGGAAACAGAUGUCCAUAACAUAGUCCUCAAACUGAGACAAACAGAGACAAAGUGGAGACAGACAUGUGAACAAUGGUCAAAGAAAAAGGAAAACUUGUUUCCCAGCAGCUGGUGUCACGUCACUGGUGUGUUUGCUGGUCUGGCAGACACAGACACUCUUGUUUAUCCAUCUUUCUGUCCUCCCAGUGGACCGUGAAGGGACAAGCCCUUGUUUGUGUGGUCUCCUUACAUUCUGACACCUCUUGUCCAGAACUUUCCUCCAUCAGACAGGCUGAUUUCCGAAUCUAACCAAAGCCCCAGGGUCUCUGCUGUCACCCUGCUGUGACAAUUCACACGGGCCUCCCAUUGGCCCCGACCGACGCAGGCGCGCUCAGGUCACCACAAAUGUGUGUGUAUGUGCACGAGCACGUGCACAUAUUUUAAAGACAGUAACAGGAGUGGAGGAGUUACUUUCACAUUACGAACCACAGUGUUAAAUUCUGAUUCCACAGGGAUCACAGUUGAUGGAUGACAUUCAGAAUUCCGUCGUUUCUCGCCCCUGUCUUUAGAACUACUUUAUUUCUAUCAAAUAUAACUAAUCGUGAAUAAUUGUGACCAUGAUUUCUCUUGAUUAAUUGUUAGUAGGUGUUAGCUACCAUGUGAUUAAUCAGAUUGAAAUUCUAAAUUGUGUGACAGCCCUGCUCAGAUAUUACAUGAUUAAGCAUCAGUCACAUAUCCACAAUCCUGACGUGAAAACUCCCAAAUGAAUAAUUAAAUCACUGCCUUAGGUUGAACAAGGAAUUAAAUUAAGGUUGUAUUACUUAAAAAAAAAAUUCAGAUUAGAGAAAAGUACCUG